GAACCUCUGCCAUGGCGGGCUUAGCCUUUUCUCUGAUGAUGAUAAGGAGAUCUGAGCCACCACCCCCCUUGCAUAUGAUAUUAAAGCCGCCUCGUCUUCUUCACCCUUUAUUUUCCUGCUCCUCCUCUUGAACCUCUGCCACCCACUUGCUGUAUAGUGAAGAGUCUUCAAAGAGAGAAUUUUGGGUUAAAGAUUGAUUUGUUAUUGGCUGUCUUUCUGCGCAAUUUCUCAUACAUUGGAUACCGACUCGGCCGCUCUUUUGAGUCCCGGAGUUGACUGAGCCGGAAUUUUCCGAGUCUGAACGAGUUUCCACCGGGUCUACCUUCUCCAGGAUAUGGCGGAACGGAAGCUGAAGUUCUGACGACUCAGACUCGGCCGAGUCUUUGAACGCCCUUUGGAUGAGGCAGUGUAUUUUGGGGCAGGGAGGUUGGGAGUUUUGGGUGGGUUGUUGCCCCUCUCUGCAACUACGCUGCCGAUGAUUUCAAUACAAGCAAACAGCCCCUGUUGAUGCUUGCCAGAUGUAGUACAAACUUCUCUAAUGAUUCCACAAAAACCCUAAAUCCUAAAUCCUUGUAAUCAGAAGCUUCGAUGAUAUCCGCCUCUUCCAAAUUAAGUCAAAUUCUGAGCUAGCUCGUAUCUUGGCUCGGCAAAAUCUCCCAAUGGCGGUUUUUGCAGCCACGGCGGGCUUAGCCUUUUCUCUGAUGAUUAUACAGCUCAGAAAGAAGAACGAAUGAGGCAGCAGCAGAGGAGUACGGGAUUUCUUUAAGGGUGGUUGCCCAUCUCUGCUUUGCCUAUGAUUUCGCCAUUGGUUACUAAAAAACCAACAGCCCUUCGAACAGAGCCAGGGAAAUAUAUGUAUAUAUAUAUGUACACAAACACACGUAUGCAUAUCAACAUGUGUGUGUGUGUGUGUGUUUAACAAUAACAGGGAAGAAGCCCUCGUUGCGAGUUUUCUUUUUUUUCUUUUCUUUCUUUUUGGCGACGGUGUUAUAUGAGAUGAAGGUGGUGGUGGAGGGAUUCGGCGAUUAUGGAAAAGAGGCGGUGAUGAUAUUUGUUGGGCAUUAUUUCUGAGCGAAUCAAAUCGGACAUUGGAGACGAACCGACCCGUAACUUGGCUGGGCAAACUCAGCAGUUGGUCUCGUCUCAUGCAUGAGCAGCUGCAGAUUUUGCAGCCAUGGCGCGGUCAAUGUCUCUGUCCGAUUCAUAAAAGAAAUCUGAGCCUCAUCUUUCUGUUGUUUUUUUCUUAAAAAAAGAAACAUUUUUUAGUAUAUCAUUUUGAUACCCCUUUUGGUCCCUGAUUGAAAAAUAUAUAUUUGAGUCCUCAAUCCUUUUAUGUUGAUGUGUGUCUCAAGAAUGUGUCAAGGCUACAAGCCAGGCCUUGUUAUGGACCAUUAGCUAUCAAGUGUUUCAAAGAGCGCUUUCGAGGCCCGUCUCAUGACGGAGCGUUUUGUUAUUUAUACAGUCUAUUUACUUUCAAA